CAGCAGCCACGGGAAUACGGAGGGUGCAAGCGUUAAUCGGAAUUACUGGGCGUAAAGCGUGCGUAGGCGGUUCGUUAAGUCUGUUGUGAAAGCCCCGGGCUCAACCUGGGAAUGGCAAUGGAUACUGGCGAGCUAGAGUGUGUCAGAGGAUGGUGGAAUUCCCGGUGUAGCGGUGAAAUGCGUAGAGAUCGGGAGGAACAUCAGUGGCGAAGGCGGCCAUCUGGGACAACACUGACGCUGAGGCACGAAAGCGUGGGGAGCAAACAGGAUUAGAUACCCCCGUAGUCCCUGUCUCUUAUAC
rnacentral:rRNA from 1 species